rnacentral:lncRNA from 1 species
AGGAGGUUCGAACUGUAAUUUGUCAACUGCAAAAUAUGUAACAGAUAUUCACAAACUCUAUCUUAAAGGGUUAAUUUCAGAAAUGUAGCAAGAAGCAUAUGUAUAGGGGAGAGGGGAAGGGGGAAAGAAGAAGAAAGAAGACAAAAUUUUUUCACUUUUUUACUGCAAGAGUACCUUUCUUUAUAUUCACCAAAAGAAGGUAACAAUUUGGUAGCUUACUACAAAUCUACUUAGUAAAUUCUUUGUGUAUGAGAUUUAAAAAAGUUAAUCAAAGUAGGUGACUAAGAAAACUAAUGGUGACUAAAGGAUUUUCCCUGUCUAGGCUGCACACUCUGUUCUAAGGCUACAACUUUAUGGCAGAAAUGAACCUCCCCAAAUUACCUAUAAUUAUCUAAAAAGAACAAACAUUAUUUAAAUUAAAUGUUAUAAUGGAAUUCAGAAAUUUAAUAUUAUAUUUUGCUCAAUGUAUAUUUUAUUUGGCCUACUCUUCUAUAUGAAAUAUUCUAAAACAGAGAAAAGGAUAGCUUAUUAUCUACUCAUAAAGUACACAGAAUUUUAAAACUGUAAAAUCUAAUGACUAAAUGAUCAAAGAGAAAAAAAAACACACUUGCAGCAUAGAGAUGCAAGAUCCCCAAAUACAAUCUUGGCAAAUAAAAUACAUUAAAAAAUAAUUUUCAAAAAGGAUCCAGUUGUCUUUAUCCCUAAAACACGAUUUGUAAAGUAAUACAAAGUACUUAUAUAAUUCAUUAAAUAAAAGCAUUGUCAUAAAAAUUUCCCAAAAAAGAUUGAAGACAUUUCAUAAAACACAGUAUCUACUUUUCAAAAAUAACCUAAAAUCAAAAGCUCUUUAUUAGUGAUUUAUUUCUUAACAUAAUUAAAAAACAUCUUAACUCAAAACCACUACUUGAAAUCACUACUUCAACUCAUUUGAGACAGAGAUGAGCUAAAGUUUUUUUGUCACAACCAGAAAUACUGGCAAGCAGGUCUAGAGAUGAAUCACAAGUGUGUAAGUAUGGUAAAGAAAGAGAAAAUAUCACUCUUUAAUAAUAAGAAUUAUAUAACAAGCAAAUUUCAAUACUUAAAAAGAAAUUCCUAGAGAAAAUGAGUUUCAUAAACAUUGAAGAUGUUUUAACACAUAAGAAAAGUACUCUUCUAAAACUGUAGCCAUAACUAUGGCACAGAAUGCUAUAUCAUUGUUUUAUGUGGUAGAUGGGACCUGAAGUUGUUUUGUUUUAGAGAAAAUACCAGCAGUACCUUUGGGUGCAUCUUUGGCGUAUGAAAAUACAAAGAUGGGGAGGUCUUCUAUUAUACAUACUCAUUUAUCUCUGUAAGAUGAUGUAGGCUCUAGCCAUAAUACGGUAACAGGAAUUGUAUUUCUCCUUCUGCUUUAAACAACUAAGACAUUGGUGUUACAUGUAUGUGCGCAUAAAUUAUGUGAAGCAAUUGUUUUGAGGCAGUGGCUAACAGAUACACAGCACUGUCCUUGAGAGAAAGGAAAUACAUGUUGGCAAGAUCCACAUUCACUCUGGCUUUCUGCCUGGAGGCACUUUACAAACUAGGACACAAGAAAGUGGAAUCCAAAGAGAGAGUACCAGCCUCACUGGGUGUUGGAAACAAAGACUGAAGAUUGGAGCUGCUUAGGUAGUUGGAAUUUGAAGGGCAGAGUGCCAGAAAUAACAAAGCUGCAUAAAGGAGGGGCUCCAGAAAUAUGCCAAGAGAUCUCUUUAAGUCUUUGGUUGAAUACUAAAUUGCCCAUAAGCAAACAUGAGAUUAUACAAAGUACGUCACAAACAGCUAACAGAGGAGUGCUGAGCUAAAUGCAGAUUCUGGUGAUCGCACAGUACCAGGAAAGAUAGUUGAAUUUCUAACCAGAGGAAAGAGCCUGCUGAAUAUUCUGGUAAAACCUGUCACAAGCCUUAAAAGGAUCAAGCUGACGUACCACUUAAGAAACUCUUUAAACACCUUUUGGAGGGGCGCCUGGGUGGCGCAGUCGGUUAAGCGUCCGACUUCAGCCAGGUCACGAUCUCUCGGUCCAGGAGUUCAAGCCCCGCGUCAGGCUCUGGGCUGAUGGCUCAGAGCCUGGAGCCUGUUUCCGAUUCUGUGUCUCCCUCUCUCUCUUCCCCUCCCCCGUUCAUGCUCUGUCUCUCUCUGUCCCAAAAAUAAAUAAACGUUCAAAAAAAAGAAAAUUAAAAAUAAAUAAAUAAAUAAACACCUUUUGGAUAAAGAGGACCAAAUCCAGACACUCAGUGUCGCACCACAACGUCCAAGAUAUAAUAAAAAAAAUGACCAGACAAGAAGCAGGAGAAUAGAAACCAUAACCAGUUGGAAAACAGAUACAAUCUUCAAAUAAAGGAGUUCCCAAUACAACAUUCCAAGUUUCCAAAACAGGCCUCUGGGUCAAUUUUCAUGGUAUUAGACCUGAUAUUCACUCUUUCAUACACAUCCCUUUUUUGUAGUGUCACAUUUCACUUGAACUUUAUCCUUUUCAAAACCCUCUAACUCUUCUUGGGGCCACCUGGGUGGCUCAGUUGGUUGAAUGUCUGACUCUUGAUUUCCGUUCAGGUCAUGAUCUCACUGUGAGACUGAGCCCCACGUUGGGCUUUGCACUGACAGUGUGGGCUUGCAAUUCUCUCUCCCUCUCUCUCUGCCCCUCCCCCAGCUCACACUUGCUGCUCUCUAUCUCAAAAUAAAUAAAGCCUAAGAAAAAACCCUGUAACUCUUCUUUUCCUUUGUUUAAUGAGAUGUUCCAUAGUUCCUCUGGUGUAUGUUUUCCUUCAUUGCAAGAAGUCAAGAAACCUGACUUUGCUGGGCUACACAUUUAUCCUUGGUUUCAGACUAGGCCAGGCUCAUAAUAAUUACUAUGUCCAUUAAAAAUACACAGGAAGGAUGCUUAUACUAGUGAUAAUAGCCCGAAACUGGAAACAAAUCAAAUGCCCAUCAACCAAAGAAUGGAUAAAUUAUGAUAUGAUCAUACAAUGAAAUAUGAUUACUAUGAAAACAAUGAUUGCUAUACAUGACAUGAAUUACUCCCACAGACAUAAUGUUGAGCAAAAGAAACCAAGCAAAAAGGGUGCAUUUUGUAUAUCCUAUUUAUCUGAAGACCCAGAUCAGCUAAAAACCAAUCUAUAGUGAUAAAGGAUCAGAACAGAGAUUAGCCUGGGCAAUGGAAAGGGCAAGAGGAUAUGAAGAAAGAAGGACAUCGAUUGUAAUGGAGCAUAAGGAAAGGAGCCUUCAGAGAUUCUGAUAAUGUUCUAUAUUUUUAAUCCCCAGAUCAAAAAUCAGUUUUAUGAGUGUAUACAUAUAUAAAAAUUCAUCAUGCAGUACACCUAAGCAUUUUACUGUAUGUAAGUAACCAGCUCAAAUUUUAAACAUGAAACAAAAAACUAAGAACUAACUAGGUGUAUAUAAAAUCUAUUAAAUAAAUAAAAACAAAGCUGUAAAAUACUCUUAAUGGACACAAAAGAAGACUCAAGAAAAUUUAAAGAUAAAUCACCAAUAAAAUGACCUUCAACUUUACCAAAUUUUUUCUGGUACUUAAAACAUAGAGCUUACUCCACGAAGACAUUAGUACCCUGGUCAUUCAUGAAAGAACUAAGCCUUGAACUUACUUACCUCUGAAAAAGCCUAUUUUAAGUUAAGAAGACAGACUACUUUAUAGGUGUCGACUCUCCCAAAGUUAGUACAUGACCUUUUAUGAGAUCUCAGUAAAAACACUAGAAUUUUUUUAACUAGAUACAUUGAUUCUUAAGUUUAUGUGGGGAGAAUACAAUAGCUAACUAUCAUAACAAAAGUGGGGGAGGUAGAGUGAGGGGAGUAGGAGGAUAAUUAGUCUUAACGAUUUUAACAGGUAUUAUAAAGACAUAAUAAUCAAAUUAUGCUAUUCGCGCAUGACUAGACAUAAUAAUGCAAUAAGAGAAUUUCUGGAAAGAAUCCAAAAAAAUAUAUGGUCAUUUAGUACAUCAUAAAGGUAGCAUGUCAAAUCCAUUAGUAAAAAUAUUAAGUUUUUAAUAAUUAGUAUUUAGACAAAUGGGUAGUCGUAAAAAGAAACUAAAAUUGUAUACAAACUUUAUACAUCUUACCAAAUAAAUUAAUACUGUAUAUCAACUAUUAAAUAUUAUAACAGUGAAAGUGUAAAAAUACAAGAAAAAAAUAAUAGAAUUCUUUUAUAACCUUAAAAUCAGGAAGGCCUUGCUAAAUAUGACACAAAACCCAAAAGUUAUAGAAGAAAAUAUAAAUUAGACUAUAUUAAUUGAAUAUUUAUACAACUGCAUAAAAUAAAGAAGAUGGCUUUAUAAUGGAAGAGCAACUUUGCUACUUUUCUGUAUGGUAUUUGAAGUCCAGAGAGUUGACUUGGGAUUAUAUAAGAAGAUAGCAUAAGAAGUAUCAGCAAUCUGGGAUUAACAAAGAGAUAAGAUCUCCGGUUACUAGUUUAACUAAGAAAAGCCUGAUUGAAUCAACUGAUACAGGAAGGACAUUCUAACUCCCCAUUGACCUAGAUUUCCAAAGCUGUAUAAAGCUAGAAAUAUUUGGUUUAAGAAAACUCAGACUUCAACAAAAUGUUCAUCUACAAUAAUUCUAAUUAGUCUAUACAUUUAAUAAAUUAUAUUCCUUCAUUAGGGUUUAUAUAUCUUAUUUUAUUGUAAACUUCUUUAAAUCUUUUUUGAAACAAGUAUACAUAUAAGUCAAUAUACCUAAAACUUCUUUGCAAAUCUGUUCUUCUAAAUUAAUGUGGCUAAAAUGACAAAUAUCAUUGAUACCAAAUAUUUGUCAAUGACUAAUUUACAGAAUAACAAUCAAUUUCCCCUUUUAAGUAGACAUUUUAGAAAAGAUACACCUCUCCUAGUAACCUAAAAAAACUGAAACCAACCCAAAUGUCCAACAAUCGGAAACUAUUCAACUACAGUGUAUUAACUCAAUGAAAAAAGGAGGGCCAGACUAGUGUAUGGGAAAUGCUUCUGUGUUCAGUAAAAAAUUUAUGCAUAGCAUAAAUUCAGCCAUGUAAAAACACACAUGGAAAAACAUGGAGGCAAUUAACAAAAAUAUUACCUGUGGGUUGGUGCUGGGUGAUGAGAUUAUGGGCAAUGUUAAUUUUCUAUUUUUUUCCUCUUACAAAUUUUCUAAAAUGAACAUAUAUUACCCCUAUAAUUAGUAAGUAAACACCAUUUAAUUAAAAAAUAAGAAAAUUCCAUUAUAAACCAGAGAAACAACCUCUACUUUAAAGGUAUUCUGAUAUGUUAAAGCAUGUAGCCUCAGUUAGCCUGAAAUUUUAUUAUUCCAGUAAGACCCACGAGAACACCCAGCUCAACCCUCCGAGACCACCAAUUGAAAAUGUAUACCAAACACAUACAAUUUAUUUCUGAAGCUGUCCGUUCAGCUCUGGCAUUCCUGUUUGUAGAUCUAAUGGUAUGACGAAUGAUUGCAUGGGGCUGUGAAUAUAAGCAUAAUACACACACUUUAAAAAAUUUCAGUGAUAAAGUUAAAAGCUCAAACUUUUUAACUAAAUGAUCAUUUACUGACAAACAUGACUGCCUACUAAUAAAUUACGGGAUAAACAUAAACAAUACAAUGAACACUAACAUA